CUUAAAUUAAAAAACAGAAAUAACCACCAUCUCUCUCAGAGGUCAUCUUUCUCAUUAUUGUGGGGAAACCUCAAAGGGCAUCAGGAAAACCUUCAUCAACCUCUUUGUGCCCAGUGGCUUGUGCAACAGUGUUUCAGAAAUUAUCAUUAAAAUGGGGAUAAUGGAUGACUGGCCACACAUAUGGGGCUAUGGACAAGCUUCAGAGCAGGCUGCCAGGUGGUGGUGUUAGUAGUUUAUACUCCGGGUCCUGGCGUGAGCACAUUGAAGGGUCCCAGAGUGACAGUUCAACCACCGCACACCUAUCCUGGGCAGAACCAGUACUAGGUGCCUUCACCUCUGCAAGGAACUGACAGCUUCUGUACAUGCCAGGUGCAGUGGUACAGUGCGAAUGGUCGUAGAAAGGAUUUCAUAACCAAUCACAACAGAGGUGACCUGGUCCGCCCGGGAAUCGAACCCGGGAUGUCCAAUUCAGAGUCCAACGCUCUACCGAUUGAGCUGACCGGGCGGACAUAUUAGCUACAUUAGAUGACAAGCCAUCUAUGCUGGACAUUCUUCACAAUAAAAUGUGAUGUCACAGGAGCUGUCUAUCUCAACAGCUCACACUGUCCGUAUUUGACUAAAGGAAUGAAUGAAGUCACUGCAGAAGUUAGAUUGAGGAAUGUCCAUGUCACUACCCAUCAUUUGGAAGGAGUUGGAUAAAAAAAGUGUGGCCUAUGUAUUGAAACAGGUCCGAUUUCCAGUUACGGACAGUCUUGAUUUGUCUGAUUACAUUUUUGACCAACAUGAUGGUCUAAAAGAACACUUACUGGUAACUGGUAAAAUCAUGGCCCAGUUGUUCCAAGAGGCAGGCGAGUGGGAAGUUACUAGACUCCAUUUCUUUAUGGGUUGAUCUGAGGUUCCAGUUCAGUUAAAGUACUGAUAGAACACCAAGUGUUUGCCAUAAUACAGCAACAUUUGAUUUGUAACUAUGUAUUUGUUUGAAUUGUUGAAACAGUACUGUUUACUAAAUAAUGUGUAUGUAUAUGAAGAAUAAUAUUAUAAAUAAUUUGUAAGAACCUGAUAUUAAGUAAAAUGUCGAUAAGUCUAAAUAUGUAUCUGCGAAUCAUUUUUGUAUAUCUGUAAAGAUUACAUUGCCUAUAUUCCUCAAUUUAUAUUUUUCUUUUAGCCAGUCAAUAACUUUUCUUAAGUUCUAUCUUCAAAAUUGUCGGGACAGGGAUUAUAGCCCUUAAUUAACCCAAAUAUGUAACAUUCAAUGCAAAAUUUCUAAUUGGCUGCAUUUAGGCAGUUCAGAUGCAGGAACAAACAUCACUUGGGUCCUUAAUAAUAGCUUUCCAUCUGACAUUGAAGAUCCAAUAAAAGGAAUUUGUCAUGUGACUGUUUAUUAACUCUCAAUUUAUUGAAAGUGAAAUUACUUACAUGAUUUGUAAGAACUAAAUUAUAAUGAUAUCAAAUGAUUGUUUAAAUUAAAUAAAAUAGAUGAUUACAUACAUGAACUAUUUUUAUUUCUUGUUUGUCAAUAUGAAGAGUAAUGCAAUGGCUUUUGAAUUUCAUAAAAAAGGAUGGAAAAAUGUAUGUUUA